CAGGUGUUGCAUGGCUGUCGUCAGCUCGUGUCGUGAGAUGUUGGGUUAAGUCCCGCAACGAGCGUAACCCUCAUCCUUAGUUACCAUCAGGUAAUGCUGGGGACUUUAAGGAAACUGCUAGUGAUAAACUGGAGGAAGGUGGGGAUGAUGUCAAGUCAUCAUGGCCCUUAUGGAGUGGGCUACACACGUGCUACAAUGGUGGCUACAAUGGGCUGCAAAGUCGCGAGGCCAAGCUAAUCCCUUAAAAGCCAUCUCAGUUCGGAUUGUACUCUGCAACUCGAGUGCAUGAAGUUGG
rnacentral:rRNA from 1 species